UACAGAGGGGGCAAGUGUUGUUCGGAAUUACUGGGCGUAAAGGGCGCGUAGGCGGCCUUCUAAGUCGAACGUGAAAUCCCCGGGCUCAACCCGGGAACUGCGUCCGAUACUGGAAGGCUUGAAUCCGGGAGAGGGAUGCGGAAUUCCAGGUGUAGCGGUGAAAUGCGUAGAUAUCUGGAGGAACACCGGUGGCGAAGGCGGCAUCCUGGACCAACACUGACGCUGAGGAGCGAAAGCCAGGGGAGCAAACGGG
rnacentral:rRNA from 1 species